AGGAAUCGGGAGGGGGUAAAUCAAACACUGGGUACACCCACGUUUACAACGGCGAGUGUAGCGACUGGACCACUUUUAAGAAAUAAAGGGAGAGUACUUGAAACUCGUCAGGAAGAUUGUCAGGAGUCGAGAAGCCAUGGGGAUGAAUCUGAAACUCCUGCUCAUCUUGGUCGUAGCAGUGGCCAUUAUUUCGGACUCCGGAGAAGCCCACAAAAGAAGAGGCUCGAGGCGCACCGGCUUUCACGCCGACGGAAACGUCGCAGAAGCACGCGUGCCGCGGGACCUUGGAGCAGAUGUUCCACAUGUGAAUGAUGCGGAGAAGGCUGAAAAUCUCGCCAAGCUGGGGAAAACUCCCUGACCCGCAGAAAAACUAAAGAAUGAUUGCUGUCUGACGGGGUUUUGUUUGCUGUGACGGCUGAAGGAUGGUGAGACAUCACCCGGUGCUGUACAUGCUUCAUGACGUAACCGAGUCCAAAGUCUCACUAUUGUCAGAGGCCCCAGUGCGAUUUUAGCCGUAGUUGUGUGAAAUUUAAAGCGUUUUAAUUUUGUAGGCUUCAGCUUGCUUGAAACACUCGGUAGUAUGUGGUACGAAUAGUUGUUGCUCAUCAGAAGAGACACGUUCAUACUACAUGUAGUACAUUUUCACAAACAAGAAACUAAACAUGAUAAUCGUAAUGCAGAGGCACAAAGAGUUACAUUUAAUAGACGAAAGUACAGUGACGUUUGCUACAAACUCAUCAAAGUAAAAGCAAGCACAGGUAAAAUGCACGGAACAUCGGGAUGAUACUGUCAAUUUUGCUUCGUAUGAAAUUGUCAACCUGUAAAGUUCCGUUCUGUGUCAAGUCCUACAGUAUGUAACGUUAACGUUACACGUUCUUUCGGCUAACGUUCUGAAGAUCUGCAGGGUUUAACAGGGCACAAAUACGGUCUACGUGAUCACGUAAGACGUCUCCCUAAAGUUUAUUCUAACAGGAGAUUGGUGAUCUUCAUCAUAUUUCUGUAGUGUGAAUAAAAUGUGGUGUUCGAUACUGAG